CUCCCACGGCAGCGUGGGAGCUCUCUCUACUUCUUUUUCUCUUUCUCUGCCUAAUAAAUCGCUGUCUGCUAAACUCUUUGAGUCCACAAAUUUAUUCAAAUA